CCUACGGGGGGCAGCAGUGGGGAAUAUUGCACAAUGGGGGAAACCCUGAUGCAGCGACGCCGCGUGAAGGAAGAAGGUUUUCGGAUCGUAAACUUCUAUCAGCAGGGAAGAAGGAAGUGACAGUACCUGACUAAGAAGCCCCGGCUAACUACGUGCCAGCAGCCGCGGUAAUACGUAGGGGGCAAGCGUUAUCCGGAAUCACUGGGUGUAAAGGGUGCGUAGGCGGUAGGGCAAGUCAGAUGUGAAAGCCCGGGGCUCAACCCCGGGAUUGCAGUUGAAACUGUCUUGCUAGAGUGCAGGAGAGGAAAGCGUAGUUCGAAGUGUAGCGGUGUAAUGCGUAGAUAUUAAUAAGAACAGCAGUGGCGAAGGCGGCUUUCAGGACUGUAACUGACGCUGAGGCUCGAAAGCGUGGGGAGCAAACAGGAUUAGAUACCCCUGUAGUC
rnacentral:rRNA from 1 species